UAAUAUUUCAGGUUCAUCCUAGCUGUUUUGGCUAAUUUAAGCUUUUCAAAAGAAGUUUUUAAGGCUGUUUUGGAGUUAGUCUAAUAUUUACACACUAGCCUUUUUUGGCUCGUUCAGGCCUUUUUUUCCAUUUGUUUUGUUGUCUUGUGCGAUUGAGUUUGAUCCCGUCAUACUAGCAGAACCAGCAUGAACUUCUGCAGCACUUUGAGCCCCAGAAGGACAGCAGACCUUCACCCCCCCACAAUGACACCACCCUCCCAGUUCACCGCCCUUCCUUUCUUGGACCAGCUGCCCACAUUUGUUUGUUUUCCUGCUUCCACCUUCAGCUCGGAGGACUAAACACUCGAGUGAUGACUGAGGUUCUCCACUCGCUCACCGGCUUUCUCCUGUCUGAGCUUCCAGCAUCGGUUGUCAUGAACUCUGUGAUGUUGGUGAAGCUCCGCCUCCACACCAACCGGCGGAAGCGAAUCAGGAGAAACGUGCCGUAAACGAUCAGCUUCUGCAUCUCCGCCCUGACGGAGCUUCAACAAACAAACACUGUCGCCAGGAGCGCCGCAAUCAGCGCAGGAAGCCUGGCCCAGAUCUGGACCGGAAGCCAGCCAUGCACGUACGUGCACGCACACGGAGCAGGUGGUGUUUCACCCAGAAACACUCUGAGGAGGAGGAGGAGGAGGAGAAGGAGGUGCAACGUUUGUUAAAGCCUCCUGAGAGCUGGGAAAACGUCAUGUUUUAUUUCAACCUGUGAUUGGUCAGUUUGUUUACAAACAAACAAACAAACAUCUUUACAUGUUUUUAUUUUCAUCUACUCACAAUAAAUUACAUUCAAAUCUG